rnacentral:rRNA from 1 species
UACGUAGGGUGCGAGCGUUAAUCGGAAUUACUGGGCGUAAAGCGUGCGCAGGCGGUUCGUUAUGUCCGAUGUGAAAGCCCCGAGCUCAACUUGGGAAUGGCAUUGGAAACUGGCGGGCUGGAGUGUGGCAGAGGGGGGUGGAAUUCCACGGUGUAGCAGUGAAAUGCGUAGAGAUGUGGAGGAACACCGAUGGCGAAGGCAGCCCCCUGGGCCAACACUGACGCUCAGGCACCGAAAGCGUGGGGAGCAAACAGG